GUAGUGCUGUGUGCAUAGUUGUCGUCUAUGUCUGGUAGCAGUGUCUGUCUGUGUUUUGCAUUCAGAUCUUGCUAUCCACACAAAAGAGUGUGCAGCCAAAAAGUAACUUGGGAUCAUAGUACUGGUCUAGUGUUACGUGUUUGAGCACAUCUCCCACUGGCCAGCCUCCAAAUUCCCAGACACAA
rnacentral:snoRNA from 1 species